rnacentral:rRNA from 1 species
CGAACUGCCGUUGACAAAACGGAGGAAGUGGGGAUGACGUCAAAUCAUCAUGCCCCUUAUGUUCUGGGCUACACACGUGCUACAAUGGCCGGUACAGACGGACGCAAAGCCGCGAGGUGGAGCAAAUCCUAAAAAGCCGGUCUCAGUUCGGAUUGCAGGCUGCAAUUCGCCUGCAUGAAGUCGGAAUCGCUAGUAAUCGCAGGUCAGCAUACUGCGGUGAAUACGUUCCCGGGCCUU